GAUAAAAUAAUUACAUUGUGACACAUAUAGAUAAAGCCUAGAUUCAUUGAUUGUUCUAUUAGAUGUUAAAUAGAUUCCUAUUACAAAACCUAUAUGCCUUCGUUUGCCGUACCGCACGUGCGUACACGAAGAAUAUUGUAGAUUUUGUAAUUUUAUUGUUAUUCAAUAUAUUGUAAUUAAUUAAUAAAAACGUGUCGUAAAUGCUUGUGCAACGAUAUUGUUGUGUUUCAUAUAAAUAGGGCAUUGGGUUAAUGCUCUGUCAAUAUAAAGUGCAUAGUUAUCAGUUCAUUAUGCGGAUCAGAGCAUUGCUAUUUGUUUGUUUACAAAUUUUUAUUAAUAUGGAAAUUUUCGUACAAUGCUUUGAAUAUGUGCCGUCAAAUAUGCAUGCAUACUAUGGCUUAGGGCCUAGUUAUUACAAACCUAGAGACUACGAUGUAUUCAACAGGCAAUUUAAAAUGGAGAAUUUCAAUUUACCUCCACCCUCAAUAAGCAUAUCUGCCGAUGGAUUGAUUAUUAAUGGAGCCAUCUCAGUUUCGGGGACUUUACCAUUUCUGAGCUCUGUUACGGUACAAGGAGAAUUGCCAACGACUGGUUCGGGAGUUGUGGAAUUUAGUACUGGUAACAAUGAAGUCGCCAUAACUCGAGAGUUGCCGGGGUACGCAAAUCGUUACGGUUCUAUGUCAUUUUAUUAAUCUGUUAUUAAAUGCUGUUUUUAUUUA